GACAGAGGUGCCGAGCGUUAGGCGGAAUCACUGGGCUUAAAGCGUGUGUAGGCGGAUCUGUAAGUACCUUGUGAAAUCCCACGGCUCAACCGUGGAACUGCUUGGUAUACUGCGGGUCUUGAGCCACCUAGGGGCAAGUGGAACAAACGGUGGAGCGGUGAAAUGCGUAGAUAUCGUUUGGAACGCCAAUGGUGAAAACAACUAGCUGGGGGCGUGCUGACGCUGAGACACGAAAGCCAGGGGAGCAAACGGG
rnacentral:rRNA from 1 species